rnacentral:rRNA from 1 species
AUUGAACGCUGGCGGCAUGCCUUACACAUGCAAAUCGAACGGUAACGGGCCUUCGGGUGCCGACGAGUGGCGAACGGGUGAGUAAUACAUCGGAACGUGCCCGAUCGUGGGGGAUAACGAGGCGAAAGCUUUGCUAAUACCGCAUACGAUCUACGGAUGAAAGCAGGGGACCGCAAGGCCUUGCGCGGACGGAGCGGCCGAUGGCAGAUUAGGUAGUUGGUGGGAUAAAAGCUUACCAAGCCGACGGUCUGUAGCUGGUCUGAGAGGAUGAUCAGCCACACUGGGACUGAGACACGGCCCAGACUCCUACGGGAGGCAGCAGUGGGGAAUUUUGGACAAUGGGCGCAAGCCUGAUCCAGCCAUGCCGCGUGCAGGAUGAAGGCCUUCGGGUUGUAAACUGAUUUUGUACGGAACGAAAAGCCUUCUUUUAAUACAGGAGGGUCAUGACGGUACCGUAAGAAUAAGCACCGGCUAACUACGUG